AAUGCAAUUAUUUUUAUAUUUUAAACAUAAACAAACAGCAUAAAAACAUGUGUGAUAACAAUUGGAUACAUUUAGAAAGUUUUGAAGAAAAUGGGCAAGCAACAAUUAGACUUGUUAAUACUGAUGGAGUUCCUGUUUUUAUAUUAUCUAAGUGGACCUUGUGGCCUUUGCUAACAUCCAUUCAUAAUUUUCCAUAUUCAUUGCAAAUUACUAAUAUUUUGUUUUUUGGUUUCUGGUCCAGUAAUUGCACCAAACGUGCAAUUAUUUUAUCUUGUUUUGUUGAUUUUUUUACUAACCUAUCCACUACUGGUAGUUUAAUGAUUGUAAUGGUUGCCAUUGGUGUUCUUCUCAAGUGGUAAGAGUUAAAAAAGGUAGGAGGUCUUGUAUGACUUAUCCAUUUUCUGAUGUUAAUGGGAGUUGUAGAAUCAUACAGAUUUUUUUUGGAUUAAUAUGAUAAUGAGCUAAAGGGAUUUUAGAUUUGUUUUUUAUUUGUAAGAGUACCUAAUUUUAGUUGUGUAAAUGGAACAGUUGUUGAUAAUCUGCACUGUAUUGAGCUUGGUGUUAUGAAAGCUAUGUUUUCUUUCUGAUUUGAUAGUUAUUCUGGUUAUAUUUUUUCUAUUAGAAGUCACUGUACUGUUGUAAAUAAUCUUUUAUCUGCAAUCAGUGUGCCAAGCAAUAUAAGACGGACUCGAUGAUCAUUAAGUUGUAUAAAGCAUUGGAAAGG